GCUGCUUCUCGGUGCAUUGUAAAACGGAGGAAUGAGAGCUGCGUAGACUCAAGAGAUGGCCAUGUCUUUGCCGCAUCCUGAGGUCAAGUGCGAAGACCUGUGCUUGUCUUUCUCCUGGCCAGAGGGCCUUCCUGUGCCCAGGUGAGAGCUCACGGAGUGUUCAUGUGGCAGCACUGAGCAUCACCAAGGCGGGAACAGCAAGGGCCCAGACAUGAGGAGCCCUGGACACAGGCUGGGUUCUCCCUGUGUCACCCCCCUGACCAAGGAGGGGAUGGACGAGCAAGUGGAUGAUUGGCUGAGGGAAGGAAUGAAUCAAUGGUGGACACGGCUGAACCUCUGUCUCCUCAUCUGUAGGGUGAGGUGGGGAGCACUUCUGUGGUUUUCAAACUCUCUCCAGUCUUCAAACAAGGACUCAAAUAGAAGCACUGCCUCUCAAGCAGGUGACAGCGGGACCGUCUGAAUGAAAUCAGGGCUGGCAGGCCUGAGCUCCACUGCCGUUCGCCUCCCUCUGCCCUCUCUACUGUCACUGGCCCUGGGUCACCUCCACACAAACAGAAAGACUGGGCUCGGGCAUCCCCAUGGUCCUUCUAGCCCAAGGCUCUCUCACUGCACGAUCCCCCAUGUACGUGUACCAGCUCAUGCAGGGUCUUGGGGCUCUUUGUAAUGGAUCAGGGUCCCUUGAGGGUUUGGGGACAGAGCCAGGAAAUAGCUCUGUGACCCAGCGGGUCUCAGUGGCAGGGUUCUCUAUCAGGACCUUGGGGUGUGCGGGCUCCCCCAAGGCCCACUGCUGCGGCCCUGCUUCCUCCGCAGGGAGCCACGUGCUGACUCCAGGAUGCCCGCCCGGGCCCUCUCCCCAGGGCUGCUGACGGCCAGCUUUCCCCGCACCCCUCCUGGGUGCCAUAGCCCAGGCUGAUAAAAUCGCUGACGCAGAUUGUCUGCCCAGCUGCGGUGCUGGCGCCAGCCCAGCAGCGCAGACGGCCGCUGGCAGUGGUUCAACCCAUUAUUGGCAUCCUCACCAUUGUCCUCCUCAGAUCUUAAAGGUGUACGCCUCCCUCCUGGAUCAAAUGACAGCAUGAGCCACGAGAGGUGAGCAGACACCGGCCUGGUGAGAACCCUCAGCUGCCUGGCCUGGUGGGGUGAGGAGGGUAGACACUGCCUCUCUUGAUGGGAAAUAAUGAACCGAGAGGCCAGCAGGCCUGGAAGUUUGGGCAGAGGUUCGGAGUCUUCAUUGGGCUCCAGGGAGACCCUUGACAUCUCUGCCAGCUUUUCAUAGAAGCCGACCCACUGUAAGGCAUUUCACUUGUCCUGAGCACUGGAAAUAAAACUUUCCUGUACCUUCCA